CUCCUACGGGAGGCAGCAGUGAGGAAUAUUGGUCAAUGGACGAGAGCCUGAACCAGCCAAGUAGCGUGCAGGAUGACUGCCCUAUGGGUUGUAAACUGCUUUUAUAAGGGAAUAAAGUGAGAGUUGUGACUCUUUUUGCAUGUACCUUAUGAAUAAGGACCGGCUAAUUCCGUGCCAGCAGCCGCGGUAAUACGGAAGGUCCGGGCGUUAUCCGGAUUUAUUGGGUUUAAAGGGAGCGUAGGCCGGAGAUUAAGCGUGUUGUGAAAUGUAGAUGCUCAACAUCUGAACUGCAGCGCGAACUGGUUUCCUUGAGUACGCACAAAGUGGGCGGAAUUCGUGGUGUAGCGGUGAAAUGCUUAGAUAUCACGAAGAACUCCGAUUGCGAAGGCAGCUCACUGGAGCGCAACUGACGCUGAAGCUCGAAAGUGCGGGUAUCGAACAGGAUUAGAUACCCUGGUAGUCCGCACGGUAAACGAUGGAUGCCCGCUGUUGGUCUGAAUAGGUCAGCGGCCAAGCGAAAGCAUUAAGCAUCCCACCUGGGGAGUACGCCGGCAACGGUGAAACUCAAAGGAAUUGACGGGGGCCCGCACAAGCGGAGGAACAUGUGGUUUAAUUCGAUGAUACGCGAGGAACCUUACCCGGGCUUGAAUUGCAGAUGAAUGAUUUGGAGACCAUGACGCCCUUCGAGGCAUCUGUGAAGGUGCUGCAUGGUUGUCGUCAGCUCGUGCCGUGAGGUGUCGGCUUAAGUGCCAUAACGAGCGCCACCCCUCUCCUUAAGUACCCUCAGGUCAAGGUGGGCACUCUAGAGACACUGCCACGGUAAGGUGUGAGGAAGGUGGGGAUGACGUCAAAUCAGCACGGCCCUUACGUCCAGGGCUACACACGUGUUACAAUGGCAGGUACAGAGAGACGGUCCCUUGCAAAACGGAUCAAAUCCCUAAAGCCUGUUUCAGUUUGGGCUGGGGUUUGCAACCUGACCCCCAUAAACUGGAUUUGGUAGUAAUUGCGCAUCAACCAUGGCGCGGUGAAUACGUUCCCGGGCCUUGUACACACCGC
rnacentral:rRNA from 1 species